CAUGAAAUACCCCCCGAAUUAAGCCCCUCGUCAUGCUGUAUGGCAAAGUAAAAUGUGAUGACGCUACCGUCGCUAUACACCUGCAUCAGUGUAUGUACUCUUCACUCGCUCUGGUUACUGGCAUUGUAAUAUAUUUGCUAUGCCUUUCGUUCCAUGUAAAAACUUCGUAAAGAAAUGUCACAAUAUUCACACAAGUUUUGAAACGUGUUACGUGUAAAAAAAUAAACCAACUUUCCCGCAGCCUUUUAUGUUCACUCGUUUUUUACAAUAAAAUUGGAAAUAAUUUCAUCUGCUUGUACUUAAAUCGCGAAACAGGAGGAAGCCUUUUUGCAACCGUCCGGUAGUUGAAAUAUGAUUAGUACUGGUUAUAUUUGACGUUAAAUUUGCACAGAAAUUAUGAAAAAAAAUCUGCCUAUUUACAGCUGGUGCUUGCAGUUGGAGCUUGCAGUUCCUCGGAAGCAUUCAGUUCAUUUUUCCAAACCGGAGAUCGCGUAUUUUCACAUUCACUCAACAAUAAAACGCACAGCCCAAGUUGGUGAUGUGAUAGAUAUGCGAAUGGAAUCAACAUCAUGUUACUGUUCACAUACACGCUUUACACAGCUAAGAAAAAGAAAAAAUCUCACUGGUGUUUGGGUUUAGUGAAAUCAUUGAUCCAGAUAUGUGUCAGGUUCAAGAUAUGACGACAUUCAGACGACUUAACUCUUUAACGAGGCUUGAUUAGUUGUGGGCUCCGCGAGUAGUUGGAUACGAUAAACCUGUGAAGUAAGGAUCAAGAUGUCACCCACCUGGCAAAACAACAAAAACAAAUUUUCUCCGCUACUUUCAUUAUUAAAUUAUUUCACUAAAUAUGCUGAAUUUCUAUAGAAUUUUUGAUCAUUUACAGAAGAAGUUUGAAGCACAGAGAACAGACUAACAAGCAAAUGGAAAAAAGUGUGUAAAAAAUUAUGUGUGCGUAAAAAUAUACCCCCCGAAAUAGGCCCCUCGCUUGGCUAGUUGGUAAACUAAUGUCGUUUUCGUUUUUGCGGUGUAGCUACCCCGCGGACUACACUUUGUCCUAUCACUGUUUUUUUUACAUUUUCCGGACUAUCCCGGACUACCCUUUUUCUGUCCCGGACAGUCCGCGCAAAAAACAGAGUGCAGUUUUGAAGACACCAACACAUUCACACGUAUGUGUCAAAAUAAAAAAAAAAAUGUGUCAAAAUCGGUUUGCUUUGAUUAUCGUUCUUCGCGUGUCAAACAUCAGGUUGAAUUUUAUUUAUUUUAUUUUGUUAUUUGGUAAUUUUUCAUUAAAUUGGCAAAUUUUUCGUACAGUAGCACAAAUGCGAUAAAAGACAUGGCGAUAAUGACCAAAACAAAAGUGACAGUUACCUCUGGUAUUACGCACACCAUUGCAACUGCUCGGAAAGUGUUUUUUUUCAGCUGCAAAGCGUAGUCCGGGACGGGAUAGUUCUGCCGUAAAAACGAAUUCGACAUAAAUAUGAUGUCGCUACCGUCACUGUGUUUAUCACUACUACAUGCUACUCCUUACUCCCUAAGGUAGCAGUGUUUAACGUUUGUUUAAAUAUCUCGCUACUUCAUUUGAUCUGCAGCAGUGAGAAGCAAAUAAAGAACUGCCAUUUCGUGAAUCCAAGUUGCAUCUUUUACAACGGAGUUUAGAGCAAACUGUUGACUUUCUUGUUGCUGAUCACUUGCUUGCGAUAAAAUGGGAAGAAAAUGCGAGUAUUACUGGUGCACAAAUCGUGAAGGAGAUGGAUGCGGCAUAUCCUUUCACAAAUUUCCGGCAGAUGAAGAGCUAUGUUUCAGGUGGAUCAAAUCGUGUAAUUCUUCAGAAGCAGAAAUUUUGUUCCGGCGAAAUGGAUCGCAAACAUUGAGCCGAAUGAGAGUAUGCUCUAACCAUUUCCAGACAGAUGAUUAUCGUGAUACUUGUACAGAUAGAAAUAGGUUGCAUUAUGGAGCUAUUCCGCAAUUGGCAGAAUUUGUGAUAGACUAUGACUAUGAGAAGUGGCAAGCUGCUCUAAGGGCUCCCUAUGCGGAAUUUGUCAACAGCUCCCGCUGUCAACCAACUGAAUUACAACCAUUAAACCUAAUAGACAUAAACUAUGAUAAUAUGGAAUCGUAUAGUGUAUAUGAUCGGAAUGCUAUAAACAGGUAAACAAAAUAUAUAUGCAGUACGGGAGGAAUAGUUUUGUAUCAUUUAUCAUUUGCAUACACACUUAUUCUCGUUUUAAUUGUUCAGUAAUUUUUAUUACGGUCAUGUUCAGAAAAUUUGAAAAAAUACUGAUCAUUUUGUAAUUUCCCCAAAAAUAACUGAUGUCGGUUAAAGUUUUUACAGGAUUACCGUUAUACAAAUGGCACUUGACGAGCUCAGCAAAAAACAUUGCUGACCUUUUCUGUAAACUAAAGUAUGUUCUGCACUUUCAUAAAGUUCAGUAAAUAUUUGACGAUCUGUCAGCACCUACCUAGGUGUUGCUGAAAACUCUUCAAUUGAUUUACUGAACUCUUGAUAUUUGUUACUAUACUGUUCGGCAAUUUUUAUGCAUCUGUCAAAACGAAACAAACAAAAGUUCGCCAUUUUGCAAAUAUUCAAAGAGUUUCGAAGCUGAGUUUUUAAAGUGUUUCGCGUGUGAUUUUCAUAAAAAAAAUAAAAAUAAAAUGGAUAUCGUACUUUCAAAUCUACAAAAAAACGACGUGGAAGUACACGAUCUAUUCAGUAAGUUGUUAUUUAUCAAAUAUGUACGUAUUUGUGUAUUUUAGUUGAAUGUUUCAUAUCAUGGCACAUCCGCAACAAUGAUUUCACCCAAAAUUCUAUCUAUUGCAAUUGAGAUAAUGCAAAUCAUUUUAGUCAGCAUAUGGAAAUUUUUCCACCACAGGA